rnacentral:rRNA from 1 species
CAGUAGCCGCGGGAACACGGAGGGUGCAAGCGUUGUCCGGAUUUAUUGGGUUUAAAGGGUGCGUAGGCGGCUAUUUAAGUCAGCGGUGAAAGACUCCGGCUCAACCGGAGCAGUGCCAUUGAUACUGGAUAGCUUGAGUGUUGGAGGGGUACAUGGAAUUGAUGGUGUAGCGGUGAAAUGCAUAGAUACCAUCAGGAACACCGAUAGCGAAGGCAUUGUACUGGCCAACAACUGACGCUGAGGCACGAAAGCAUGGGGAGCGAACAGGAUUAGAUACCCCCGUAGUCCCUGUCUCUUAUAA